GAUGAACGCUGGCGGCGUGCCUAAUACAUGCAAGUCGAGCGAACGGACGAGAAGCUUGCUUCUCUGAUGUUAGCGGCGGACGGGUGAGUAACACGUGGAUAACCUACCUAUAAGACUGGGAUAACUUCGGGAAACCGGAGCUAAUACCGGAUAAUAUUUUGAACCGCAUGGUUCAAAAGUGAAAGACGGUCUUGCUGUCACUUAUAGAUGGAUCCGCGCUGCAUUAGCUAGUUGGUAAGGUAACGGCUUACCAAGGCAACGAUGCAUAGCCGACCUGAGAGGGUGAUCGGCCACACUGGAACUGAGACACGGUCCAGACUCCUACGGGAGGCAGCAGUAGGGAAUCUUCCGCAAUGGGCGAAAGCCUGACGGAGCAACGCCGCGUGAGUGAUGAAGGUCUUCGGAUCGUAAAACUCUGUUAUUAGGGAAGAACAUAUGUGUAAGUAACUGUGCACAUCUUGACGGUACCUAAUCAGAAAGCCACGGCUAACUACGUGCCAGCAGCCGCGGUAAUACGUAGGUGGCAAGCGUUAUCCGGAAUUAUUGGGCGUAAAGCGCGCGUAGGCGGUUUUUUAAGUCUGAUGUGAAAGCCCACGGCUCAACCGUGGAGGGUCAUUGGAAACUGGAAAACUUGAGUGCAGAAGAGGAAAGUGGAAUUCCAUGUGUAGCGGUGAAAUGCGCAGAGAUAUGAAGGAACACCAGUGGCGAAGGCGACUUUCUGGUCUGUAACUGACGCUGAUGUGCGAAAGCGUGGGGAUCAAACAGGAUUAGAUACCCUGGUAGUCCACGCCGUAAACGAUGAGUGCUAAGUGUUAGGGGGUUUCCGCCCCUUAGUGCUGCAGCUAACGCAUUAAGCACUCCGCCUGGGGAGUACGACCGCAAGGUUGAAACUCAAAGGAAUUGACGGGGACCCGCACAAGCGGUGGAGCAUGUGGUUUAAUUCGAAGCAACGCGAAGAACCUUACCAAAUCUUGACAUCCUUUGACAACUCUAGAGAUAGAGCUUUCCCCUUCGGGGGACAAAGUGACAGGUGGUGCAUGGUUGUCGUCAGCUCGUGUCGUGAGAUGUUGGGUUAAGUCCCGCAACGAGCGCAACCCUUAAGCUUAGUUGCCAUCAUUAAGUUGGGCACUCUAAGUUGACUGCCGGUGACAAACCGGAGGAAGGUGGGGAUGACGUCAAAUCAUCAUGCCCCUUAUGAUUUGGGCUACACACGUGCUACAAUGGACAAUACAAAGGGCAGCGAAACCGCGAGGUCAAGCAAAUCCCAUAAAGUUGUUCUCAGUUCGGAUUGUAGUCUGCAACUCGACUACAUGAAGCUGGAAUCGCUAGUAAUCGUAGAUCAGCAUGCUACGGUGAAUACGUUCCCGGGUCU
rnacentral:rRNA from 1 species